rnacentral:lncRNA from 1 species
UAACACUCAUAAUCCUUGGUCUUUUUAAGCUUUUCUCUCCAAAAUCUGCUCCAAAACAGGGUCUAGGAACCCUCCUGAAAUCGCUGGGCACGUGUUCCAUUUAAAAAAUCAUGUGCGCACAUCGACGCGCACGCGCACUGCACGCGUACGCGUCCCUGGGGUCUUUUGCAAUCUGCGCGCAGGCGUAAGGUGCGCGAGCGGCAUAAGGAAUAUGGCCCAGCCAUAUAAGCGCACCAGCUCAUCGCUCGGCUCUACUGCGCUGGCUCUGGAUGAGCGCAUCCACGCGUACGCGCACGGUGCGCGUGCGCGUGCAUGUCCAAACUUCAAUUCUUUAAUUUGUUUCAUGCUCCUUCUAUUCAUGCAUGCUUCCUUCAUUCCUCUUAGCCAUUUUUGUCCUGUAACUUCUGAAAUCACUUAACAAACGGAUCAAGGCAUCUAAUGGUAAUAGAGGAGGAUUACAGUAUAUCAAUUUUGAUGCAAAAGAAGCAUAUUUUCAUCUAUGAGGUAAAAUGGGAAGGGGACACAAAAUCAUGCAGUUUUAUAUGAAUAAGUGUGGAAGAUCAUUAAUAAAACCCUUAGAUUCUAUGCAUGAUAAACCCUAAAAACGGGGUUUAUCAAGAUAUCAUUUAUACAAUGCACUAGGUGUAGCCAGUCAAUAUCAGGCAAAUUCCGGUGAAAAAUAUUGGAAGGUGGUUAAAUCCAUUCUUAAAUAUUUAAGAAGAACUGAUAAACCACUAUUUUAUGGUUUAUCUUGUGCUAAUUUGAGUGGUUUUUAUCAACUCUUUACUCACUUAUUCAUAUAAAUUGCGUGGUUUUACAUUUUCCUUCCUGAUUUUGUGAUAUGAUUGAAAACAUGUUUCUUUGGUCUUAAAUUUUCCUAUGUCUAAAUCCUCUCUUAUUACCACUCGAUGCAUUGAUGUGUGUUAAGUGACUUCAGAGUUUAUAGGGCAUGAAUGGCUUAGAGGAUGAAAAGGAAGCAUGCAAAAGUGGAAGGAAUACAAGAAGUUGAAGAAAUUGCUAAGCUGUCUAGCCUGACCUCUUCGCACUCAAAUGGUCAUAACUUGAGCUACAGAGAUCCAAAUGAUGCGGUUCUAGUUACGUUGGAAAGCUAACGUUCACGGUUUCGAUUUGAUAUAUAAUUUGCUAUAGUAGCCAUACAGAUAGGUGACGCGAACGCGUGCUCCACGCAGAUGCAUCGCAGUGACAAAAAUUAGCGUGGCAGAUUUCGCCCCCCAGCGAUUUCUGGGCUGUUUCUGGCCCAGUUUUUGGCCCAGAAAACACAGAUUAGAGGAUAUAAAGUGGGAAAAUCCAUUCAUUCAUAAAUAAAGCUUUAAUAAUACACAAUUUUAGGAUUAGAUGUAGUUUUAGAGAGAGAGGUUCUCUUCUCUCUCUUAGGAUUAGGAUUUAGGAUUUCUAUUAUGUUUAGGCUACUUCUUUUCAAUCACAGGUUCAAUGUUUCUUUAAUUUAUUUUCUUUUUUUAUUUAUUCUAUUACUUUAAUUGUUAUUUAUCUUUUCAAUUUGGCUUAUGAACUUCAUGUUAGAGUUGAUUUCUUUAUUUAAUAUAAUUUGAGGUAUUUCAGAUUUAAGAUUUCUUUCUUUUAUUUAUGUUACUGUUGCUUCCCAUCUGAAGGCAUUUUUAUUCAAGUAGAUUUUCUCCCUUUUUGCUUUGGUUAAGUAAUUAGCAAUACUUGAGUUAUCAAACUCAGCUAUUGAUUGAAAUUGGAAUUCUCUGCUAGUUAAUUUGUACUCCAAUAACUCUAGUCUUUCCAUAGGAGUUGACUAGGACUUGAGGAUCAAAUCAAUUAGUCCACUUGACUCUCCUUUGUUUAGCAAGGGUUAAUUAAAGUGGAAGCAGAAUCCAAUUCUCAUCACACCUGAUAAGGAUAACGAGGAUAGGACUUCAAUUUCUCAUACCUUGCCAAGAGAUUUUAUUAUUAUUAAUUUAUUUUUUUUGUCAUUUAAAUUACUUGUUCCUUAUUUUAAAAAACCUAAAAACAUAUCUUUUUACAUAACCAAUAAUAAAUCAUACCUCCCUGCAAUUCCUUGAGAAGAUGACCCGAUGUUUAAAUACUUCAGUUAUAAAUUUUAUUAGGUUUUGUUACUUAUGACAACCAAACUUUUGUACGAAAAAGAUUCUCUGUUGGUUUAAAA